UAACAUGUUUCUGUAUAUAUUAAUUUCACAAGAAAAAGAUACUGAUUUGUUGGUUUUUCAACUUGGAGAGGCCUGAAAUUAGAGUUGAGUUUUCAACUUACCAAAUCGUAGAUGUAGCUGUCAUUUGCAAUUCUGGAACACAGAAAGUUGUUAAGAACUGGUCCCUAUCCCAUUCUUGUGCAGCCUUGAAAUAAUUCAAUGCUGAAAAUGCUUUCUUGGGGAACCUCUUCAACAAGAAAUUGCAAACCACUCGCUUCAACUUUAAAGGUUUGACACCAUGGCUGCACAGACUAAGUUCCUGGAAUAGUGGGAAGACAAGAGUUUGUAUCAAUAUGUUGGCUAUUGAAACCAAGUUCCUGCACAAACUCUAUAUGUGGCAUGUUUUACGUAGUUGUAUCAGCUUUUGGGAAAUGCUUUUAACAUUAAGAGUUAUAUGAAAUAGGUUUGAUUACUCAUUUGAGCA